CAGAUAGAGGCAUGCCUAUGCAUUUCUCCCACCAGCAUACAUUCGAUAUUGCAUGAACACCUGGCCGUAAAAAAGGUUUGUUCUCGUUGGAUCCCGCACAAUUUGACAAUCGCUCAAAAAAAGGCUCGUGUGGAUUGGUGUAAAGAAAUGCUGAAAAAAUACGAUAUAUUAUCCUUAAUUUAUACUUGUCUUAUUAUAGUUCUUCAAUCACUUUUUCAAUCAUUAGUUCUAUUAUUUGUAUAUUUUUCUUUUGACGUUCAUUCUGUGUGGUUUGACGCAACUGGGGCACGCAGUUUUAUGUCACUAACUUCUUUGUUUCCAGUCGCUGUAGCUGGAUACCGAGUGGAUGUUUAGUCUGCCACGUGUGAUAGGAUGCCAGGGUAAUAGAAGGGGUACUACGAUCUUCGCAUUGAGACAGCGCAUCGAGUGAGUCAAUUUUCUAAUGAUUAUCUGUUAUCUGUUUUGCUGAUGAAGCUUGCAAGUAGAGUUGGUGAAUGGUGAAGGAAGUUUUGAAGGACUCGACUGGGCCCUUCUGAUGGUGUUACCUUUCUGAUGUUUUUUUGGUGGAUUUGAUUUUGUCUGCGAAGCUGCUCAUCUUGUUUUCUCGUCCCUCAAUUUUAACUAUUAACAGCAACAAAGUUGCUAAGGAGAGUAUUAUACAUAGUUUUGUUCACAUAACGAUUGUUUGUAAGUCCUAAAACUAAAAGAGUCAGAUAUAGGGUUAUAUAUACCAUUUAAGCCAUAAAUAAAGAUAUUAAAGUGAAAUUUGGCACAAAGGAUCGCAUUACGGAGGGGCAUAUUUGGACGUAUUUUUUUUGGAAAAGUGGGCGUGGCCCCGCCCCCUACUAAGUUUUUUGUACAUAUCUCGGAAACUACUAUAGCUAUGUCACCCAAACUCUAUAGAGUCGUUUCCUUCAGGCAUUUCCAUAUACAGUUCAAAAAUGGAAGAAAUCGGAUAAUAACCACGCCCACCUCCCAUACAAAGGUUAUGUUGAAAAUCACUAAAAGUGCGUUAACCGACUAACAAAAAACGGCAGAAACACUAAAUUUUACGGAAGAAAUGGCAGAACGAAGCUGCACCCAGGCUUUGUUUUUUAAAUUGAAAAUUGGCGUGGCGUUGCCCACUUAUGGACCAUAUCUCAGAAACUACUCACCGAUUUCAACGAAAUUCGGUAUAUAAUAUUUUCUUAACACCCUUAUGACAUGUACGAAAUAUGGGUGAAAUCGGUUCACAACCACGCCUUCUUCCAAUAUAACGCUAUUUUGAAUUCCAUCUGAUGCCUUCUCUGUAUAAUAUAUACAUUAGGAUCCAAUGAUCAUAGCUGAAUAAAACUUUACACAAACGCGGUAUUUGAGCUGAGGCAUCCCUUGUGGAAAAAUUGUCGUGAUCGGACUAUAACUUUUCAAGGUCCCUGAUAUCGAACACGAAGAACUCAGUGCCUAACCUAACCUAACCAAAUUUUUCACCGAAAAUAUCGGUAAAUCUUUCAGAAUUUAAUUCUAAUUAAUUUUACAGCAAAAUAAAAAAUAUGUAUGUAAAUAACGGAUAAUGAAAUCUCGAUUAUCACUUUAUCAUGCGAGAGUAUAAAAUGUUCGGUGACACCCGAACUUAGCCCUUCUUUACUUGUUUUAUAUUCUAUAUUCAGAUAUUCUUGGAUAUCAGCGGAGCAUUGGGAUAUUUAAUCUCCGAUAUAUUUGGAUUUGGGAAUUUCUCGACCCUGAGGCGAAAUGGAAUCUAUUUAUUAUCAUUUGUUAUAAGUCUGAGUGCAACAUCGAUGAAGAAUUUAAUAUUUUUAAUAAUUGCAAUAUUUUUAAACGUUGAUUGGUGGUGAAAUUUACUAUUUUUACUCUCAUUUGUAAAUUAUUCAUGUACUUCCAAUCAAUAAAAUGUGCCUUCAACUAGUGA